AAUUGACGGGGACCCGCACAAGCGGUGGAUGAUGUGGAUUAAUUCGAUGCAACGCGAAGAACCUUACUACCCUUGACAUGUCCGGAACUUGCCAGAGAUGGCUUGGUGCCCGAAAGGGAAUCGGAACACAGGUGCUGCAUGGCUGUCGUCAGCUCGUGUCGUGAGAUGUUGGGUUAAGUCCCGCAACGAGCGCAACCCUUAUCAUUAGUUGCUACGCAAGGGCACUCUAAUGAGACUGCCGGUGACAAACCGGAGGAAGGUGGGGAUGACGUCAAGUCCUCAUGGCCCUUAUGGGUAGGGCUUCACACGUCAAUACAAUGGUCGGUACAGAGGGUUGCCAAGCCGCGAGGCGGAGCCAAUCCCACAAAGCCGAUCGUAGUCCGGAUUGUUCUCUGCAACUCGAGAGCAUGAAGUCGGAAUCGCUAGUAAUCGCAGGUCAGCAUACUGCGGUGAAUACGUUCCCGGGUCUU
rnacentral:rRNA from 1 species